GACGAACGCUGGCGGCGUGCCUAAUACAUGCAAGUCGAACGCAGUGGGGACGGGUGAGUAACACGUGGGUAACCUCCCAUCAGAGGGGAUAACAGUUGGAAACAGGCGCUAAACCGAUAUGGAUGGAUGGACCAGCGGUGGAUUAGCUUGUUGGUGAGGUAACGGCUCACCAAGGCCACGAUGCAUAGCCGGCCUGGGAGGGUGAACGGCCACAUUGGGACUUGGACACGGGCCAGACUCCUACGGGAGGCAGCAGUGGGGAAUAUUGGACAAUGGGCGAAAGCCUGAUCCAGCCAUGCCGCGUGUGUGAAGAAGGUCUUCGGAUUGUAAAGCACUUUAAGUUGGGAGGCGUUACCAACAGAAUAAGCACCGGCUAACUUCGUGCCAGCAGCCGCGGUAAUUC
rnacentral:rRNA from 1 species